GUGGUGGUGGUAAUGAUGAAGGUGGUUGUAGUAGUAGUGGUAUGGGUGGUAAUGGUAAUGAUAACAGUUUAGUGAUGGUGGUGGUGGUAGUAGUGAUGAUGGUAGUUGUAGUAGUAGUGGUAUGGGUGGUAAUGGUAAUGAUAGCAGUUUAGUGAUGGUGGUGGUGGUGGUAAUGAUGAAGGUGGUGGUAGUAGUAGUGGUAUGGGUGGUAAUGGUAAUGAUAGCAGUGGUGGUGGUAAUGAUGAAGGUGGUUGUAGUAGUAGUGGUAUGGGUGGUAAUGGUAAUGAUAACAGUUUAGUGAUGGUGGUGGUGGUA
ensembl:lncRNA